CGGGCUGCUGGUGGCCGCUGGUGGCGGGUGCGUCAUGGCAAUGACCACAUGUCUAGAACUCUGAGGUCCAG